CCUACGGGGGGCAGCAGUCGAGAAUCAUUCACAAUGGGGGAAACCCUGAUGGUGCGACGCCGCGUGGGGGAAUGAAGGUCUUCGGAUUGUAAACCCCUGUCAUGUGGGAGCAAAUUAAAAAGAUAGUACCACAAGAGGAAGUGACGGCUAACUCUGUGCCAGCACCCGCGGUAAUACAGAGGUCUCAAGCGUUGUUCGGAAUCACUGGGCGUAAGGCGUGCGUAGGCUGUUUCGUAAGUCGUGUGUGAAAGGCGCGGGCUCAACCCGCGGACGGCACAUGAUACUGCGAGGCUAGAGUAAUGGAGGGGGAACCGGAAUUCGCGGUGUAGCAGUGAAAUGCGUAGAUAUCGAGAGGAACACUCGUGGCGAAGGCGGGUUCCUGGACAUUAACUGACGCUGAGGCACGAAGGCCAGGGGAGCGAAAGGGAUUAGAUACCCUGGUAGUC
rnacentral:rRNA from 1 species